rnacentral:rRNA from 1 species
GGUCGCAAGGCUGAAACUUAAAGAAAUUGGCGGGGGAGCACCACAACGGGUGGAGCCUGCGGUUCAAUCGGGAUUCAACGCCGGAAAACUCACCGGAGGCGACAGCAGAUGAAGGUCAGGCUGAAGACCUUACCGGAUUAGCUGAGAGGUGGCGCAUGGCCGUCGGCAGUUCGUGUCGUGAAACAUCCUGUUAAGUCAGGCAACGGGCGAGACCCGCGCUCACAGUUGCCAGCAUGUUCUUCGGAACGAUGGGCACUCUGCGAGGACUGCCACCGCUAAGGUGGAGGAAGAAGCGGGCCACGGUAGGUCAGUACGCCCCGAAUCUUCCGGGCUACACGCGUGCUACAAUGGACAGUACAAUGGGUAUCAACCCCGAAAGGGGAAGGUAAUCUCCUAAAACUGCCCUCAGUUGGGAUCGAGGGCUGCAACUCGCCCUCGUGAACCAGGAAUCCGUAGUAAUCGCCUCUCAAAAUGAGGCGGUGAAUAUGUCCCUGCUCCUUGCACACACC